GGGAGGCAGCAGUGGGGAAUAUUGCGCAAUGGGGGAAACCCUGACGCAGCAAUGCCGAGUGAGUGAGGAAGGCCUUCGGGUUGUAAAACUCUGUCAGAAGGGAAUAAUGGUAUAGGGUCCAAUAGGCCUUAUAUUUGAAGGUACCUUCAAAGGAAGCACCGGCUAACUUCGUGCCAGCAGCCGCGGUAAUACGAAGGGUGCAAGCGUUGUUCGGAUUUAUUGGGCGUAAAGCGCGCGCAGGCGGAUUGUUAAGUCAGAUGUGAAAUCUCGGGGCUCAACCCCGAAACUGCGUCUGAAACUGAUAAUCUAGAAUCUCGGAGAGGGAAGGGGAAUUUCACAUGUAGGGGUAAAAUCCGUAGAGAUGUGAAGGAACACCAGAGGCGAAGGCGCCUUCCUGGACGAGUAUUGACGCUGAGGCGCGAAAGCGUGGGUAGCAAACAGGAUUAGAUACCCUGGUAGUCCACGCCGUAAACGAUGUGCACUNAGAUAUUGGUGGUUUGACCCCAUCAGUGUCGUAGCUAACGCAUUAAGUGCACCGCCUGGGGAGUACGGUCGCAAGACUAAAACUCAAAGGAAUUGACGGGGACCCGCACAAAAGGG
rnacentral:rRNA from 1 species